GUCAGAACUAGUCUGCUGGAGAUUUGGGUAUGCAGUCGUCAUCGUCUAAUCUCAGUGGAUUCUUUGUUUUAUUUGUGAAUGCAGAGAAAUAAAAACAGUGAGAAGAGUACGUGUGGAGUCAUACAUUAUCAUCACAAUUAACACCUGCACUAGAGAGGGUCGUCACACUGGUGCCGUGACCUCUUCCGGAUCUUCUGGAUCAGCUCCACAAGCAGAUCGCCGAGGGUGCUGCGCUGUGCUGUGUUCCUGGAAUGUGCAUCGUGAAUUUUCUGGUGAUUUAGGGGGUCCUCUAACACUGCAUUUUUAUAUUCAUUGUAGUUUUCAUCACAGUGUAGCUGCGCUACUGCACACUAUUUAGUCAUUUGUCUUUCAAUUAAGUGUUCCUCACAUCACACUACAGUUUAGUGUUCAGUAUUUCCCAGGUAGUGUGAUAAUAUUUGCAUUAGUGAAUUCUUUUUUUUUUUUUCAUUAAUAUUUCUAUUUCUAAUUUUGUGUUACUCAAGUUAACAUGGCUGAGGGGAAUAGCAGUCAGAUCAAUGGGUUAAAAGGGUCCUCCAUGAAUAGGGGCAGGGGUCUUCAUUUGUCUAGUGGGUAUG